UUGAGACCUUGUUUAUGAUAUUCCUGUUUGGUUCUUUUACUGUAAAGCUAUUAGAUAAUUCUUAGUCCUUACCUUCCUAGUGACACAUUUCUAUUUAUGCUAUGAUGCAUUCCAAUUUUCUUACUUAAUUUAUUUCUGCACAUACCUUUUUUCUCUUGAUUUCCUUAUUGUACACUUACAUGCCCCCCUCUCUUUCCCUACUUCCUUUGGGGUUUGAAAAAGCUAUCUUAAAAGUCAUCUUUUAAUUGUUAUGAUGUGUUUUAAUCUUUUCUUUUCUGGAAUUACUGAGCUUGUUUUUUUUUCUUUUUUGCUUCUUGUUGUUUCCAGUUUUAUGGUGCAACAACAUUUUUCAUUCAUAGAUCAGACUUUGGUGUCUCCUUGAUUAUGCUUUAUAUGAAGGUUGGAGAGAAAGACAGUUAAGAGGAAAAGAGCUUUUGCUCGAACAUAUUGUUCACCUUCUUGCCAAUGAGCAAUCACAACUUCGUGUUCUUGAAGAAGCUGAACCCAAAUAGUGACUUUUGGCAGUCUAAACUGUUGCUUUGAAUAUCAAACUUCUUCUGAUGUGGCCCCCAGGUUAGCAAGAAUAUAUAUAGAAAAUUCAG